UCAGAAUACGGAACAAACCAGAAACCGUCAACGGGCGUAAAUGUGUAUUCAUAUAAAGUACUCCAAAUCGCACUACUUUGACUUUAAAGCAAUCAGUCAAUGGCCGGCGCGCGCAUUGUUUACAUAUCCGUCAGAUUGACACUUUAUAAUUAAAUUAUGCCGUCUUGUGCCGUUCCAACAUGUAAGAAUGCUACUGGAAUUACGAAGAAAGUGCAUGGGAUCAUGUUUUAUCCGUAAGUAGCACAUUUCCAAUUCAUUUUAAUUAAAUAAUAAUUUUCAAAAAAAAUCACGGUUGUAUUUUGUAAGUGUUGCCACAGGUCAACGGAAUAUUUUACCCUACUUUUUUAUAUUGAAUUACAUUUGUCUACUUAUAAAAAAUUCACGCGUUAAUUUUGUUAGCGUUACCACAGAAUAAUGGAAUAUUUUCCCCAUCCUUUUUGUUUUAAUUAGUUUUUAGUGUAAUUUCAUCCAUGACAUGACAACCUGAUUAAUUAAAUUAUAAGUGCCACUUGUGGUCUAAACUGAAUAAAUAUUUUUGAUUUUGAUUUGAUUUCAAUAUAUUGAAUUAAUUUAUAAUAUUACUCCCUAAUAAUGAGGAGAUAAUAAAUUACUAUCGUGAAUUUCAUACUUUCCCAUUUAUUCAAAAGUAAGGCAUUGGUAUCAACAGAUCAGCAGCAGCAAUAUUUGUAUAUUUAAUAAUAAUUUUAAGUAAUUAAUUAUUGCUUACAUACUUACUCUGAUUUUUUUUCAGGAUACACAGCCAGAGUUGCCUCGCAAUCAAAUUUAAGUAUUGGUGAUGUUUUUGAUUUGGAUUCUGUUUUUCACUCCAAGAAAAGUUAAACUAAAAGCACUACUGCGCCGUAAACAAAUGUUUUGUUGUCGAUAUGUUUACAUAAUAAAGAACCUUAAGUUUCUUUUUUGUUUUACUUGGCAUUCUAAAAUUUAUAUUCGACUUUUGUAAUUGACUUUUAAAUAACAUAUUAUACCUACAUAAAAUAUAGUACAUAUAUUACACUAUUUAAUAGAAAUAAAUAAUCAUCUUACACUUAGUUACUUCGGAGUAAAAAUUAAAUUCAUAGGUAGGUAGGUACUAUCUAUGCCUAUGGCCAGUCAUGUCGUCUCGUUCUAUCGCAAAGAAUCACCAUUUGAUAAGAGCGAGAGCAAAAACGGAAAUGGAUAGUUAACACUGGCCGUGUGUACUUAUUUCACUUACUUAUUUUUUACUUGUUUAACAUCUCUUUAAAAAAUUACAUAAUUUUACCCCAAAAAUGGGGGUGUCACACGGCGCUAGUAACACUAAAGGGGGUAGAGGGGCGCGGGAGGGGAAGUAUUUUGGACACAAGUUGCCGCGUAGAAAUGUUAUCGAACACUCCUUCUGGUUUGUUCUGUAUUCUGAGCGCAUAACAUAAUACCAAUAAACCAGAUAUCAACCGUC